UACGUAGGAGGCGAGCGUUGUCCGGAGUUACUGGGCGUAAAGGGUGCGCAGGCGGCGGUUCGCGUGGCGAGAUGAAAUCUCCCUGGCUUACCUGGGAGGAUGGUCGCCAGACGGGAUCGCUUGAGGGUCGGAGAGGGGCGUGGGAAUUCCGGGUGGAGCGGUGAAAUGCGCAGAUAUCAGGAGGAACACCGGUGGCGAAGGCGG
rnacentral:rRNA from 1 species